ACGAGGAGCCUGCUCCUCUGAUCAGUGGCGAACGGGUGAGUAACACGUGAGCAACCUGCCCCAGACUCUGGGAUAACAGUUGGAAACAGCUGCUAAUACCGGAUACGAGACGGAGAGGCAUCUCUACCGUCUGGAAAGUUUUUCGGUCUGGGAUGGACUCGCGGCCUAUCAGCUAGUUGGUGAGGUAAUGGCUCACCAAGGCGACGACGGGUAGCCGGCCUGAGAGGGCGACCGGCCACACUGGGACUGAGACACGGCCCAGACUCCUACGGGAGGCAGCAGUGGGGAAUAUUGCACAAUGGGCGAAAGCCUGAUGCAGCGACGCCGCGUGAGGGAUGACGGCCUUCGGGUUGUAAACCUCUCUCAGCAGGGAAGAAGCGAAAGUGACGGUACCUGCAGAAGAAGCACCGGCUAACUACGUGCCAGCAGCCGCGGUAAUACGUAGGGUGCGAGCGUUGUCCGGAAUUAUUGGGCGUAAAGAGCUUGUAGGCGGUUUGUCGCGUCUGCAGUGAAAAUCCGAGGCUCAACCUCGGACUUGCUGUGGGUACGGGCAGACUAGAGUAUGGUAGGGGAGACCGGAAUUCCUGGUGUAGCGGUGGAAUGCGCAGAUAUCAGAGGAACACCGAUGGCGAAGGCAGGUCUCUGGGCCAUAACUGACGC
rnacentral:rRNA from 1 species